UCCACAUAAAAUACAAAUGUUUAAAUUCAA
rnacentral:piRNA from 1 species